GACAAACGCUGGCGGCGUACCUAAGACAUGCAAGUCGAACGGGUGCGGCGCCCUUCGGGGCGCCGUGCGAGUGGCGGACGGGUGAGUAACGCGUAGGAACCUAUCGCACAGUGGGGGAUACCACGGGGGAAACCGGUGUUAAUACCGCAUGAGGUCAGCGAUGACCAAAGCAGCAAAUGCGCUGUGUGCGGGGCCUGCGUCCGAUUAGCUGGUUGUGGGGUAAGGCCUACCAAGGCGACGAUCGGUAGCUGGUCUGAGAGGAUGGUCAGCCACACUGGGGACUGAGACACGGCCCAGACUCCUACGGGAGGCAGCAGUUAGG
rnacentral:rRNA from 1 species